AGAGCAAGAAGGGCAGGUGCUUGAAGCCUCCUGAAGUGGUAUGGUGUUACUCUGUAGGGUUGAAGCUUUCUGAAAUUGGUGAUACUCUGUGUCUGGUUAUCUUGAUUACAAUGUAUGCUGUCAUACCUCACUCUACGUUACAGUGAGGAAUUUACCUAAGGCUCCUGUUAACGUCCAAGAUGUCUGUUUUCUUUCUUCAAUCAAUGUUUUCACUGCAAAAACAUCUGAGCUGGCCCACUGGUUCAGCUUCUAACUAGAAGCACUGGAAACAUGACUGUCAGACCUGUCAUAAACUGGAAAUUCUCCUGUCUUUCUGUUGACAUUGGCACUGAAACUGCUGCACUGAAACAAUAAAAACUGGACCCAAAGGAAACAGGAAGCAAAAUCGAGUUUUAAAGCAAAAUGAGAAAAACUUGUUUCUAAGAAACAGAGAAUUUGUUAUAAAAUGUCCACAGUUGUGACUUUUUUGGGGGGAAGAAAGCCUUAUAUGAAAGUAUGAAAGUGUUCUCUUAGUGGAAAGCCUUGCCAACCUUGGCAGAGAACAGAAUAUCAAAAUGUGUGACAACCCAAGAAAUGCUGCAGAAAAUGAGGAAACCAGAAGCCAGACAGGAAGCAAUAUACAGAAACUGAAGCACUGCAGGUCUUGUUAGCAUUAGAUAACCAUAUGGCUCUACAGAAACCAUAGAAUAACAGCCAUCCUAAUUAUAGAUAAGUGAUGAAAGGAAGCUUAACAUUAGCAUUAACCCCAUUAAAACAGCAGCUGAGGCAAUUUCAUCACAAUGGAAAAAUGCAGCAGGAGUUGAAAGGGUGUCCCAGGAAUUAUACCUAAAGACCACAGAAAUCUGUAUUUGGUCUUACAAUGGUUGUGUUAGCUUGAUUUGAUUUGAAUGUCCGCUAGCUUUGUUGCAACUCUUAUGGUAAUGGAUCUCCUGAUCCUGGUUCCUUGCCAUGGGUAGCAUUUUUCAAACAGCUGCAAGUUGUGCUGCUUGCUGUUCAUGUCUGAUGAUGUGUGCUAUAUGUUUGGGGUUUUUCUGCAAUUAUGACAUUAGUCAGGUUAUUGAAAUGCUAAAUAUUUCAAUGUUAAGCUGUGCAUACUUUUAUGUGGGAGGCAAUUCCUUUCCCUUUAGGCUGUUUCCUGGGGCUGGCCACCAUUUCAGGGUCUGCAGUAACCCAACUCCUGAUGUCUACUUUGCUGGCAGUAUUCUGAUAUAGUGGCCUAUCAUUGUUUCACAGGGCUGAAGAUCUUUUGUUUCAAAGCAGAUGGGGAAAGGUACUGGUAGAAACUAUCAAGUGCUUUCAGAGCCUUCCAUGUCUUUGACCCCUUACUAAUCUGUUCUGCAUUGACUUUAUCUAAGGGAAGAACCUCUGGCCCACAGUACAGACUAAAGUUACACUAGGAAUUUCUGGCAUAUAAUUUUUUCCAGUAGAAGAAACUUGAAAUCUUAUCCAAUAAUUAAUAACUCCUUAUGAUUUUGUUUCUUUUCUGCUGUAAAACUGGAAAAUGGAUGAAUUUGCCUGCUAGUGUACAACUACUAUGUGAAGAUCUAUAUGGUUACCCCAGUUUAUAUUAAUAAAAAAUGGAAACUAACAAAGUCCUCUGACUGUUUAUAAAUGUAACUGCUGUUUUGCUAACACUUCUGCAUCAUUCCUUAGAUCUCUUUUUUUAGUCUGUGUUGUGUGUAAACAGCAAAGGAAUUACCAGCUAUGACAUGCUUUUACCAUGCUCUAAAUUUUUUUUCUUUUUCUGAAAACAUGAUCCUUUCUGAUUUCAUUUUUGUUAGUACUCAAUAGGUCAUCCAGUAAUGUUGUUGAAAUACAAACUGGAGUUGCCCUGAUGAG